rnacentral:rRNA from 1 species
UACGGGGGGGGGGCAAGCGUUGUUCGGAAUUACUGGGCGUAAAGGGCGCGUAGGCGGCUCAAUCAGUCGGGCGUGAAAGCCCGAGGCUUAACCUCGGGUCUGCAGUCGAUACGGGCUAGCUAGAGUGUGGUAGGGGAGGAUCGGAAUUCCUGGUGUAGCGGUGAAAUGCGCAGAUAUCAGGAGGAACACCGGUGGCGAAGGCGGAUCUCUGGGCCAUUACUGACGCUGAGGAGCGAAAGCGUGGGGAGCGAACAGG